GACGAACGCUGGCGGCGGGCUUAACACAUGCAAGUCGAACGGAAAGGCCCUGCUUGUGUGGGGUGCUCGAGUGGCGAACGGGUGAGUAACACGUGAGUAACCUGCCCUUGACUUUGGGAUAACUUCAGGAAACUGGGGCUAAUACCGGAUAGGAGCUCCUGCUGCAUGGUGGGGGUUGGAAAGUUUCGGCGGUUGGGGAUGGACUCGCGGCUUAUCAGCUUGUUGGUGGGGUAGUGGCUUACCAAGGCUUUGACGGGUAGCCGGCCUGAGAGGGUGACCGGCCACAUUGGGACUGCGAUACGGCCGAGACUCCUACGGGAGGCAGCAGUGGGGAAUAUUGCACAAUGGGCGGAAGCCUGAUGCAGCAACGCCGCGUGCGGGAUGACGGCCUUCGGGUUGUAAACCGCUUUCGCCUGUGACGAAGCGUGAGUGACGGUAAUGGGUAAAGAAGCACCGGCUAACUACGUG
rnacentral:rRNA from 1 species